rnacentral:lncRNA from 1 species
UAGCAGGAAAAACCUUUUGCUUUGGGGUUGUUCCAAACUUUUGAGUGACGAUUUCUGCUGACAUAACGAUUAUAAAUGCUUCAAGUCCGCUAAAACAUUUUUGAGUGAAGUCAAACAUUUCCAGCCUAUAAAGACUCGUCUUGCUGCUGGAAAGAAGCCAGGGCAUGUGUCCGUGUUUACCUCACAGGCACUGGGUCGCACGCUCCUUUCACGCUGAUGUCAGAUUGGCAUGACACAUGGUCCUAGACACCAGGGGGCUUCAGGGGGCCAGGAGACCUCCAGCCCUACUCGCAGUAGCUGAUACAAUCCAC